GCUCAGUCAGUUAAGCAGCCAACUCUUGAUUUUGGUUCAUGGUUCGUGGGAUCAAGCCCCACACUGGGCU
rnacentral:tRNA from 1 species